UGUCGGAGUAGUACUAGGUAUGUUCUUGAAACUUAAAGAAUUUGGCGGUAUCUUAUUCCGUUCAGAGGAAUCUGUCUCGUUAUCGAUAGUCCGCGUUGGACCUUACUUGGUUGCUAUGGUUUGUAUACCGCCGUUUAUUGAUUAUGCUUUUAGGGUUAUUUAAUUUUCUGGUUUCUUUAUUUUGGUUUAUUUCAGGUCAAGGUGCAGCUUGUUUCUAAGUGUUAUGAUGGAUUACAUUGUUUUAUUGUUGUUUGGAUUACUGGUUGAAUUAUUGGUAGGAAAUUGGAUUUGAUUGUAAUGUUUUGAAGAUUGUUUUCGUGAUAAUUGGUUCUAAGAUAUG
rnacentral:rRNA from 1 species